rnacentral:rRNA from 1 species
CCUACGGGAGGCAGCAGUAGGGAAUAUUGCUCAAUGGGGGAAACCCUGAAGCAGCAACGCCGCGUGGAGGAUGAAGGUUUUCGGAUUGUAAACUCCUUUUGUUAGAGAAGAUAAUGACGGUAUCUAACGAAUAAGCACCGGCUAACUCCGUGCCAGCAGCCGCGGUAAUACGGAGGGUGCAAGCGUUACUCGGAAUAACUGGGCGGAAAGAGCGCGGAGGCGGGAUAGCAAGUCAGAUGUGAAAUCCUAUGGCUUAACCAUAGAACUGCAUUUGAAACUGUUAUUCUAGAGUAUGGGAGAGGUAGGUGGAAUUCUUGGUGUAGGGGUAAAAUCCGUAGAGAUCAAGAGGAAUACUCAUUGCGAAGGCGACCUGCUAGAACAUAACUGACGCUGAUGCGCGAAAGCGUGGGGAGCAAACAGGAUUAGAUACCCUUGUAGUC